ensembl:miRNA
UGUCCUGUCCAUGUCGAAGGCUGUGUGCUGUGGAGGGGAGCCUUCUGGGCCGAGAGACACACGACCUGGGCUGCA